rnacentral:rRNA from 1 species
GGGGAAUUUUCCGCAAUGGGCGCAAGCCUGACGGAGCAAGACCGCGUGGGGGAUGAAGGUUUGUGGAUUGUAAACCCCUUUUGUCAGGGAAGAAGUUCUGACGGUACCUGACGAAUCAGCCUCGGCUAACUCCGUGCCAGCAGCCGCGGUAAUACGGAGGAGGCAAGCGUUAUCCGGAAUUAUUGGGCGUAAAGCGUCCGUAGGUGGUUUAGAAAGUCUGUUGUCAAAGCGCAAGGCUUAACCUUGUAAGGGCAAUGGAAACUACUAGACUAGAGUGCGGUAGGGGCAGAGGGAAUUCCCAGUGUAGCGGUGAAAUGCGUAGAUAUUGGGAAGAACACCGGUGGCGAAAGCGCUCUGCUGGGCCUGUACUGACACUGAGGGACGAAAGCUAGGGGAGCGAAAGGGAUUAGAUACCCC